GGUCAAAACAAGUCACGAGGCCUGCCCAGAAUGGAGGGGAGGGGAAGUAGACCCCCCUGGUGAUGGGAGGAGUGAUGCGUGUGUACAGGGAAGGGAGGAAUUGUUAGUAGCCAUCUUUGAAGGCUGCUGACCUCCGUGUCGGUGAUCCUGUUGCCUCAGCCUCGCAAGUAGCUGGGACCACAGGCAUGCACCACUUUGUGCAGCUAAUUUUUUUUUUUUUUUACUUUUGUAGAGAUGGAGUCUUGCCACCCUCAAAUUCUCAGGCCUUUGGCUUCGGACUGAGAAUUACACCGUUGGCUUCCCCAGUUCUGAGGCCUUCGGACUUGUUCUGAGCCACGCUCCCUGCAUCCCAGGGUCUCCAGCCUGCACACAGCCUCAGGACUUCUCCACCUCCAUAACUGAAUGAGCCAAUUGCCCAAUAAACCCCUUCUCCUAUCUCUCUCCACACAUAUCCUGUUGAUUCUGUCUCUUUGGAGAACUCUGAUUAAUAUGCUUCCUCUAUGAAACAAACAGGGCCGUUCCU
rnacentral:lncRNA from 1 species